rnacentral:rRNA from 1 species
UGGGGAAUAUUGGACAAUGGGCGCAAGCCUGAUCCAGCCAUGCCGCGUGAGUGAUGAAGGCCUUAGGGUUGUAAAGCUCUUUCGGCGGGGACGAUAAUGACGGUACCCGCAGAAGAAGCCCCGGCUAACUUCGUGCCAGCAGCCGCGGUAAUACGAAGGGGGCUAGCGUUGCUCGGAAUCACUGGGCGUAAAGGGCGCGUAGGCGGACAUUUAAGUCGGGGGUGAAAGCCCAGGGCUCAACCCUGGAAUUGCCUCCGAUACUGGGUGUCUCGAGACCGGAAGAGGUGAGUGGAACUGCGAGUGUAGAGGUGAAAUUCGUAGAUAUUCGCAAGAACACCAGUGGCGAAGGCGGCUCACUGGUCCGGUUCUGACGCUGAGGCGCGAAAGCGUGGGGAGCAAACAGGAUUAGAUACCCUGGUAGUCCACGCCGUAAACGAUGGAUGCUAGCCGUUGGCAGGCUUGCCUGUCAGUGGCGCAGCUAACGCUUUAAGCAUCCCGCCUGGGGAGUGCGGCCGCAAGGUUAAAACUUAAAUGAAUUGACGGGGUCAUAGCUGUUUCCU